rnacentral:rRNA from 1 species
GCAAGUCGAACGGUCUUUCUAUGGAAGCUGCUUCCACUGGGAAGAGUUGUGGGCGGACGGGUGGAGUAACACGUGGGUAACCUGCCCAUAAGAGGGGGAGUAACAUCCGAAACGGGUGCUAAUACCGCAUAGUUUUCUUGAUCGCAUGGUCGAGAAAGGAAAGACGGCCUUUGUGCUGUCGCUUAUGGAUGGACCCGCGGCGUAUUAGUUAGUUGGUGAGGUAACGGCUCACCAAGACGAUGAUACGUAGCCGACCUGAGAGGGUGAUCGGCCACAUUGGGACUGAGACACGGCCCAAACUCCUACGGGAGGCAGCAGUAGGGAAUCUUCCGCAAUGGACGAAAGUCUGACGGAGCAACGCCGCGUGAGUGAAGAAAAGGGUUUUCGGAUCGUAAAACUCUGUUGUCAGAGAAGAACAAGUCGGAGAGUAACUGCUCCGGCCUUGACGGUAUCUGACCAGAAAGCCACGGCUAACUACGUGCCAGCCGCUGC